GGCCGCCGCCGCUGCGCCGGCCGCCGUCGCCGUCGUCGCUCGGGAGAAAUUAAGAGGAGUUGAAAAAGAGCCAAGAAGUGUCGUUGUUUGCCGUAUUUCGCCACCACCGCCGGCUGCCGUCGCCGCCGCCGACCCGGCGCUGCUGCUGUUACUGACAGAGGACAGAAACUCCAGCCAGGAACAUGGCUUGGGAGAAAAAGUGGGCAUUCAAGACUAAAGAGUGGCUAUCCGAAAAGUGCCAUAAUGCCUAUUGCAAAGUGUUGGAUACAAAGGGUUGUAUAUAUAUGUAUAUAUUCACAUGUAUAGCUAGUGUAUUACUCAUGCCGCAAGGCAAGCAAUUUUCCCAACUUCUUGCACCUACUUGUUCGAGCAAUUUUCCUUUCUCCCAUCUUGGAGCUUGGGAAGGGGUGGACUGCAGGAGCAACUAGCUUCCUAUAUUGGACUCCCGGCCCUGAUGAAUAAAAUGAGUAGGGAAUGAGCUUCAUAAAAGGGAAUUUUAAUGCCAGAAAAGGAAGGUAGGAAGGUAAGACUGAUCUUGCAAAGAUGAUAGGAAAGAAAGAUGGCAUGGCAAUAUAUUUUUAAAGAAAACAAUUUAAUCGAUCAAUCAAAAUUGAAUGUUGGAAAGUUUCGAAGAUGAUCUAAAUUGACAGAGUACUACGUUUUUUUAUUCUGAUAAAGAUACACUGGUAGAUGUUUGCUUUCGGCAUUUUGGUAUGUGAGAAGGUACCAGGUUUCUAGCAGGCAGGAAAUCCGAGCUAUUAUUGUAGUCGUCAAAUCUUGGUCUUUGAGGAUUCUGGUAACUCUACUUCUCAUCUUUUUCGGGUGUCAUUCAAACCUGUAUAUACUCAACUUGUGAUGUUUCCUACUUAUACAUGAGUGCCUAACUGCUAUUUAUUCUCAUUCAUGCCUGA